rnacentral:rRNA from 1 species
UCCAGUUGAUCCUGCUGGAGGGUACUGCUAUCAGACUUCGAUUAAGCCAUGCAAGUCAGCUCACUCACUUGGGUGGGCGGCAAAAGGCUGAGUAACACGUGGUCAAUCUGCCCUGAGGACGUGGAUACCGUCGGGAAACUGACGUUAACCCGCGAUAGAUGUUCUAUGCUGGAAUGCUUGAACAUCCAAACGGCUAGCGAAUUGGAGCUAGUCCGCCUUAGGAUGAGACUGCGCCGGAUUAUGGUAGUUGGUGGGGUAAUGGCCUACCAAGCCGAUAAUCCGUAGGGGCCAUGGGAGUGGUGGCCCCCAGAAGGGCACUGAGACAAGGGCCCUAGCCCUACGGGGUGCAGCAGGCGCGAAACCUCUACAAUGCACGAAAGUGUGAUAGGGGAAGUCUGAGUGGUAGCAGCAAAGCUGUUGUCUUUUUGCUAAGUGUAAAUAGCUUGGCGAAUAAGGGUGUGGGCAAGACUGGUGGCAGCCGCCGCGGUAACACCAGCGCCUCGAGUGGUACCCACGGAUAUUGGGCCUAGAGCGUCCGUAGCUGGACGAUUAAGUCCGCUGUGAAAUGUUGGGGCUCAACCCUAACGCUUGCAGUGGAUACUGGUUGUCUUGGGAACGGGGGAGGAUCGGAGUACUUCCGGGGUAGGGGUAAAAUCCGUUGAGCCUGGAAGGACUACCAGUGGCGAAGGCGCCGAUCCAAAACGUGUCCGACGGUGAGGGACGAAAGCUGGGGGAGCGAACGGGAUUAGAUACCCCGGUAGUCCCAGCUGUAAAUCAUGCAGACUGUGGUGUUGCAUGUGAGUAAUCACAUGCAGUGCUGUAGCGUAGGUGUUAAGUCUGCUGCCUGGGGAGUACGAUCGCAAGAUUUAAACUUAAAGGAAUUGGCGGGGGAGCACCACAAGCCGUGGAUGCUACGGUUUAAUUGGAUACAACGCCGGAAAUAUCACCAAGAACGACGGCAGUAUGAAGGUCAGACUAAAGAUCUUGCCUGACGAGCCGAGAGGUAUUGCAUGGCCAUCGUCAGCUCGUGGUGUGAACUGUCCUGUUAAGUCAGGUAACGAGCGAGACCCAUGCCCUUAGUUGCUAAUUUUCUCUCCGGAGAAGAUGCACUCUAAGGGGACUGCCCGCGCUAAGUGGGAGGAAGGAGUGGGCGACGGUAGGUCAGUAUGGUCCGAAAUUCUUGGGCUACACGCGGCAUACAGUGGAUGGAACAAUGGGCUGCGACUCCGAGAGGAGAAGCCUAUCCCCGAAAUCCAUCCGUAGUUUGGAUUGAGGGUUGCAACCCACCCUCAUGAAAAUGGAAUGGCUAGUAAUCGCGUGUCACUAACGCGCGGUGAAUGUGUCCCCGCUCCUUGCACACACCGCCCGUCAAGUCACCCAAAUGUUUUUUCGGUGAGGCCCCGGUUUAUGCCGGGUUCGAACCGGGAGGGCGUGAGGGGGGCUAAGUCGUAACAAGGUA